GCUACUACCGAUUCCGGGUGAUCAGGUGAAUUAUUUGGACCUGUAUAGGAGAGAUUCGUUAACACUAUCACCUAGAGGAUGUAAAAGUCGUAACAAGGUUUCU
rnacentral:rRNA from 1 species